CCUACGGGUGGCAGCAGUAGGGGAUAUUGCUCAAUGGGGGAAACCCUGAUGCAGCAACGCCGCGUGGAGGAUGAAGGUUUUCGGAUUGUAAACUUCUGUUGUUAGAGAAGAUAAUGACGGUAUCUAAUGAAUAAGCACCGGCUAACUCCGUGCCAGCAGCCGCGGUAAUACGGGGGGUGCAAGCGUUAUUCGGAAUCACUGGGCGUAAAGAGCGCGUAGACGGGAUAGCAAGUCAGAAGUGAAAUCCUAGGGCUUAACCAUAGAACUGCAUUUGAAACUGUUAUUCUAGAGUACAGGAGAGGUAGGUGGAAUUCUUGGUGUAGGGGUGAAAUGCGUAGAGAUCAAGAGGAAUACUCAUUGCGAAGGCGGCCUGCUAGAACGUAACUGACGCUGAUGCGCGAAAGCGUGGGGAGCAAACAGGAUUAGAUACCCUUGUAGUC
rnacentral:rRNA from 1 species